GUCGCAGGACCGUGAGUCAGAAAUGUCCAGAACCUGGUAUGCUAAAGAUGAAGGACGGCAGAUGCUGGCCUACAUUGAUCUCUGUGCAAGUGAGGGGUAGCGACCGGAAGAAGCCCCCUCCUGCUGAGGGCCCCCGGAUUGGGCGUGUUGGUGAAGUCAUCGCGGUGAUGUGGGCAAAGGUCAAGCUCAGGGUAGCA